AACGAACGCUGGCGGCAUGCCUAACACAUGCAAGUCGAACGAGACCUUCGGGUCUAGUUGCGCACGGGUGCGUAACGCGUGGGAACCUGCCCGUAGGUUCGGAAUAACUCCCCGAAAGGGGUGCUAAUACCGGAUAAUGUCUUCGGACCAAAGAUUUAUCGCCUUUGGAUGGGCCGGCGUUGGAUUAGCUAGUUGGUAGGGUAAAAGCCUACCAAGGCGACGAUCCAUAGCUGGUCUGAGAGGAUGAUCAGCCACACUGGGACUGAGACACGGCCCAGACUCCUACGGGAGGCAGCAGUGGGGAAUAUUGGACAAUGGGCGAAAGCCUGAUCCAGCAAUGCCGCGUGAGUGAUGAAGGCCUUAGGGUUGUAAAGCUCUUUUACCCGGGAUGAUAAUGACAGUACCGGGAGAAUAAGCUCCGGCUAACUCCGUG
rnacentral:rRNA from 1 species